rnacentral:rRNA from 1 species
UACGUAGGGGGCAAGCGUUGUCCGGAAUCAUUGGGCGUAAAGAGCGCGUAGGCGGUCCGGUAAGUCCGCUCUGAAAGUCCGGGGCUCAACCCCGGGAGGCGGGCGGAGACUGUCGGGCUAGAGUCCGGAAGAGGCGAGUGGAAUUCCUGGUGUAGCGGUGAAAUGCGCAGAUAUCAGGAGGAACACCAAUGGCGAAGGCAGCUCGCUGGGACGGUACUGACGCUGAGGUGCGAAAGCGUGGGGAGCAAACAGG